GCCUUAGUAACGGCGAGUGAAGCGGCAAUAGCUCAAAUUUGAAAGCUGGCCCCUUUGGGGUCCGCGUUGUAAUUUGUAGAGGAUGAUUCGGCGAGGGCUCCCGUCUAAGUCCCUUGGAACAGGGCGUCAUAGAGGGUGAGAAUCCCGUAUGUGAUGGGCUGCCUUAGCCAUGUGAAUCUCCUUCGACGAGUCGAGUUGUUUGGGAAUGCAGCUCUAAAUGGGAGGUAAAUUUCUUCUAAAGCUAAAUACCGGCCAGAGACCGAUAGCGCACAAGUAGAGUGAUCGAAAGAUGAAAAGCACUUUGGAAAGAGAGUUAAAAAGUACGUGAAAUUGUUGAAAGGGAAGCGCUUGCAGCCAGACUUGUCCGCAGUUGCUCAGCUUGUCUCCUGACAGGCGUACUCUUCUGCGGCCAGGCCAGCAUCAGUUCGGGCGGUCGGAUAAAGACCUGGGGAAUGUAGCUCCUCUCGGGGAGUGUUAUAGCCCUGGGUGCAAUGCGGCCAGCCUGGACUGAGGAUCUCGCUUCGGCUAGGAUGCUGGCGUAAUGGCUGUAAGCGGCCCGUCUUGAAACACGGACCAAGGAGUCUAACAUCUAUGCGAGUGUUUGGGUGUCAAACCCAUGCGCGUAAUGAAAGUGAACGGAGGUGGGAACCCUCACGGGUGCACCAUCGACCGAUCCUGAUGUCUUCGGAUGGAUUUGAGUAAGAGCAUAGCUGUUGGGACCCGAAAGAUGGUGAACUAUGCCUGAAUAGGGUGAAGCCAGAGGAAACUCUGGUGGAGGCUCGCAGCGGUUCUGACGUGCAAAUCGAUCGUCAAAUUUGGGUAUAGGGGCGAAAGACUAAUCGAACCAUCUAG
rnacentral:rRNA from 1 species